CGUUGUCACAUCCGGGAUUCAUACACAUGAUCACUGUAAAGGAGGCGUUUCAUUCAACACAGCCUCCAAUAUUCUUGAGGUUCAUCUGUGGCUCAUCAUAUGGCAUUUAGAUUCAAACCGGCAAGCCUUCGGGUACUGGCCCGACUUUCUAAGCUUGAGGCUACCCAUGCCAACCCAUACAGGAUUGCUGACAUACAGGGACGCUACAUUAGGUUGGACUCUCUCAGGCAGCAAUGGGAAGAUGACCACAAGAGGGCACUGAAGUGUGGGAAGCUGUGUGGUAGCAGCAAAGGGAUGUCGAUUGUCAGCAUCGUUGCGAGGGAGAUCCUAGACUCCCGGGGAAACCCCACUGUGGAGGUGGACCUGUGCACAGAGAAAGGUCUUUUCAGGGCUGCAGUGCCCAGUGGAGCGUCCACAGGCAUCUAUGAGGCUCUAGAGCUGAGGGAUGGAGACAAGAGCCGCUACAGGGGCAAAGGUGUGCUCAAGGCAGUGGGCCACAUCAAUGACACUCUGGCUCCUGCUCUCAUAGCAUCGGGUAUCAGUGUUGUGGAGCAGGAGCAACUAGACAACACGAUGAUUGAAAUGGACGGCACAGAGAACAAGUCUCAGUUUGGUGCUAAUGCUAUCCUGGGAGUCUCCCUGGCCAUUUGCAAGGCUGGUGCAGCAGAAAAAGAGGUCCCCCUGUACCGUCACAUCGCUGACCUGGCAGGAAACACAGAGCUGGUGCUGCCAGUUCCAGCGUUCAACGUGAUCAACGGAGGCUCCCACGCGGGCAACAAGCUAGCCAUGCAGGAGUUCAUGGUACUUCCUGUCGGGGCGGAGUCUUUCAGGGACGCGCUUCGGGUGGGCUCCGAGCUGUACCACACGCUCAGGGGGGUGAUCCAGGAGAAGUACGGCCAGGACGCUACCAACGUGGGCGACGAGGGGGGGUUUGCCCCCAAUAUCCUGGAGAACAGUGAGGCGUUGGAGCUGAUAAAGACAGCCAUCGAGAAAGCGGGCUUCACGGAUAAGGUGGUGAUCGGGAUGGAUGUGGCGGCGUCCGAGUUCUACCGCGAGGGGAAGUACGACCUGGACUUCAAGUCUCCUCCGGACGCUGACAGGCACAUCAGCGGAGAGGAGCUGUCAGACAUCUACCAAGGCUUCGUUAACGACUACCCAGUGGUGUCCAUCGAGGACCCGUUUGAUCAGGAUGACUGGGCCGCCUGGUCCCGCCUCACGGCUUCCGUGGGCAUUCAGGUUGUCGGGGACGACCUGACGGUGACCAAUCCCAAGAGGAUAGAGAAGGCUGCCGAGAAGCGGGCCUGCAACUGCCUACUGCUCAAAGUCAACCAGAUCGGCUCUGUCACUGAAGCCAUCCAGGCCUAUCCAUCAUCUAUAACUGUUGUCAUCAAUCUUGGCCGUAAGUACAGCCAACAGUCAUUCAAAGUCGUUCAAUUAAAAUGUAUUAAUAUAGCCAUCAUUCAUACAUUUACUUUAAUCUCCUUUUAGUACCCUCAUGCUUAUUCUACUCUUACUCUCCCUCUCUUUUGUCUCCGAGCCCCCACCUUUCUCUCUCUCUCUCUCACACACACACACACUCACAGGUGUAAGCUAGCCCAGGCCAAUGGCUGGGGGGUGAUGGUCAGUCACCGUUCAGGAGAGACAGAGGACACUUUCAUCGCUGACCUGGUGGUGGGGCUCUGCACUGGACAGAUUAAGACAGGAGCCCCAUGUAGAUCUGAAAGGCUGGCCAAGUACAACCAGCUCAUGAGGAUCGAGGAGGAGUUGGGGGAUCAAGCUCGCUUUGCAGGCUAUAACUUCAGAAACCCCACUGCCCUGUGAGACCAGACAGACAGACACAUCGCCGCCAACCAGAUGCACAGUUACUUGGAGACACAAAGACAGAUGGACAGAUCAAGAUAUAAAGAGACCGACCGACACACACAAACGUGCACAUAGAGACACACAAGUGUAGAUAUGAAGCCUGAAGGGCACCUAAGAAAGACAGGUAUGAGCGUCAAAGAGAAAAUGAAACACACAGCGCUGUAUACAAAAAAAAGCAACACUCCGACUGAUGGCUGACAAGGACACACUAACUACAGGCUGACUGAGAAUAAAAAGAACACACGUUGUAUUUUGCAGUUGUUUGCUCUCAUUCACCCAUGACGACCCAAAACGGCGCUCUCCCUCCUUCGUCCUCUUCUCCACUUUCCUUUCCCGGCUCUGCAGUCAUCCCUCGUUUUUGUUGUUGUUUCUUGGUUACUUCAAAAGGCUCUCCUGGUGUUGCUAUGUUUGCAGGAAUUGGCCUGUUCCUCCAUGCUUGUCCCCGUUUCCUCUUUCCUUUGGUUACCCUGGCAAUAGAAUUGCUGUGUUGAAAGACAGAACGCCUGUCAUGAAAGGACAUAUGUGAAAUAAAAUGGUAAUUUACAGUUUCAACCA